AUGUUCUUACGAAUUUGUGGCGUACUUGUUUGUAAGUGGAGGCAGGUACAAAAACACAUGAAAACAACUAUGUUUUAUUGAGAUUGCAGCAUGGAGUUGUUUAACGGUGGCAUGGCGGGAGCGUAGGAAUCACGAUAUCGAUAAGCCAAUCUUUACAGUUUUACUUUUAGAAAGUUUUCAGCAACAACUUGAUGUGAAAGGUUUAGAUAUUAGUUGAGACUUUACGAGGUGCAUGUUAACCUAAGUGAUGAUUUUACUAAAAUUUCAAACCUCUCCUUGAG